AGAGUUUGAUCAUGGCUCAGGAUGAACGCUGGCGGAGUGCCUAACACAUGCAAGUCGAGCGGCAGCGCGAGUAGUUUACUACUUGGCGGCGAGCGGCGGACGGCUGAGUAACGCGUGGGAACAUGCCCCAAAGUGAGGAAUAACUGCCCGAAAGGGUAGCUAAUGCCGCAUACGAUCUUCGGAUUAAAGGAUUUAUCCGCUUUGGGAGUGGCCUGCGUACGAUUAGAUAGUUGGUGAGGUAAUGGCUCACCAAGUCUACGAUCGAUAACUGGUUUGAGAGGAUGAUCAGUCAGACUGGAACUGAGACACGGUCCAGACUCCUACGGGAGGCAGCAGUGAGGAAUCUUCCACAAUGGACGAAAGUCUGAUGGAGCAACUCCGCGUGCAGGAUGAAGGCCUUCGGGUCGUAAACUGCUUUUAUGAGUGAAGAAUAUGACGGUAACUCAUGAAUAAGGGUCGGCUAACUACGUG
rnacentral:rRNA from 1 species